CGCGCGCCGAGAGGCGCUUUCUCCUCGGCUAAAAAUAGGCUAUAAAGGAGUCGGCCUCAUGAUGGCUCCUUGAUUCAAUUUGCUGCAAAUUCUUUCCCGAAAGCCUUCCCCGCCUCACAGCCACACGCACAAAAAGGGGGGUGUCGAGGCACGGAGGGCGCGAGAGGGGGAGAAGGCCGAGGUGCACAUUUUCGGGAGACAACACCAACAUAAUUGGGGUGAAUGCUUUGAAAAGUGGCCAAAAGGAAAGAGAACACAGGAGACUCUCAAGGCUGAGGAACAGUGGUGGUCUUUAUCCUGUUCUCCAAGUAGUGGACACACUUGCUCAGCCCUCGGGAAACAUCUUAGAGAAGGACCUGGAGAGGAGUGACUUUGUGGUAUACCUAGAGAGACUGAGUAUUAGACUUUGGAGAGUGCUCUCUUCGGCAGCACAUAUACUAAAAUAAACUUUGGAGCAAAGAUACCUGUGCUGAGCUUGGCAGAAGUCAGCAGAGCUGCCUGACCUUCAGUGAUCAUAAGAACUUGGAUGCUGAGCACAUGAAUGGUGAUUAGUAUGAACUGAAAACAAGUGGACUCCGCCCAAGUGACACGCUCUGGGUAAGUUUCCAGGUGCUUUGGCAUAACAUUGUGAGGCCCAGUAAGAUGUGGAUUUAUGCAAAAUAUAUUUUGAUUUUGGAGCAAAAUGAAGUAUUGUGACAUUUUUCAUAAACCCUUGUUUGUAGAGUAAAAGUCAUAUCUAUUACUUGAAUAUUUGUUUGGAAGGCACACAAGGGAAAGCAGGGCAG
rnacentral:lncRNA from 1 species